rnacentral:rRNA from 1 species
GGGCCCGCACAAGCGGUGGAGCAUGUGGUUUAAUUCGAUGAUACGCGAGGAACCUUACCAGGGCUUAAAUGUAAGUUGCAUAAAUCAGAGAUGAUUUUUUCUUCGGACUACUUACAAGGUGCUGCAUGGUUGUCGUCAGCUCGUGCCGUGAGGUGUCAGGUUAAGUCCUAUAACGAGCGCAACCCCUGUCGUUAGUUGCCAUCAAGUAAUGUUGGGUAUUCUAGCGAGACUGCCGGUGCAAACCGAGAGGAAGGUGGGGAUGACGUCAAAUCAUCACGGCCCUUACGUCCUGGGCUACACACGUGCUACAAUGGCCGGUACAGAGAGCAGCCACUACGCGAGUAGGAGCGAAUCUUCAAAACCGGUCUCAGUUCGGAUCGCAGUCUGCAACUCGACUGCGUGAAGCUGGAAUC